UACGUAGGGUGCGAGCGUUACUCGGAAUUACUGGGCGUAAAGCGUGCGCAGGCGGUUUGUUAAGACAGGUGUGAAAUCCCCGGGCUUAACCUGGGGACUGCAUUUGUGACUGGCGAGCUAGAGUAUGGCAGAGGGGGGUAGAAUUCCACGUGUAGCAGUGAAAUGCGUAGAGAUGUGGAGGAAUACCGAUGGCGAAGGCAGCCCCCUGGGCCAAUACUGACGCUCAUGCACGAAAGCGUGGGGAGCAAACAGG
rnacentral:rRNA from 1 species